AUCUAAUUGACGAGUUCCGAAUAAGACGAAAUGCGUAUCUUAGAU
rfam:Schistosoma haematobium scaffold819_8, whole genome shotgun sequence.